UUUCUAGAUAACACUAAUAGCAGUGAAGGUAAUUCAGAUUCAUCCAGAACCAUAAGCAAUCCUUUGACUCAAAAGAUGGAGACUGGUAGACCCAUUCAACGGUCUUUUCAGCCACCAUUAGCUAAGAAGCAAUUGAAGGAUGUUGUCACCAAGGAAGCUUGCAACAGAAACCUUUUAGGGCGACACAAAGCGGUGAACAACAAAUCCGAUUCAACCUCGUCGGCAGGGUCGAUAAUAGGUUGCAGCUCACUGAAGUCAAUUGAAAUUAAGAAUUGUAAUAAGCAGCACCAGAAUAGGAAUGAAGAGGAGGUGACAAAUAAAGUGUGGAAAGGUGUGGUGAGUUUGGGGGUGGAAGGAGAUGAUAUUGAUUCAAUUUACAAGAGGCGUAUUACUGUUAAUGAGAGAAAAGACAUUGAAGCUAAAAACAUGAGGGAGCACAAAAAGCAGGUGAAAUCAUGAAAAUCAUUUCUUUGAACAUGAGGGGGUGGGGAAACAGUGCAAAACGCAGGAGGUUGAAUCAUUCACUUCAAUCAGGUAAGUUUGAAUUGUGUAUGUUACAAGAAACAAAAAAACAUGAUUUUGAUGAUUAUAUGAUUUAUAAUCUAUGGGGACACAAGGAUGUGAGGUGGGUAGCUAAACAGUCGAUUGGGGCCUCAGGAGGAUUGUUAACUAUUUGGAAUUAUGAUCUUUUUGAUUUCAAUUAUAGUUUCACCGGUGAUGGGUAUUUGGGCAUUUGUGUGCAGUGCAAGACUUGUUGAAUUUUAAAACUCACAAUCAAGAGGGGGAGUGUGUUUGGGAGGUGAUUUCAAUGCAAUUAUGAAGAUAGGAGAGAGGAAGGGAAGUAGUUCAACGAGUAGACAGUCAGAUCGAUGGGAGUUCACACAGUUCGUGGAGGGGAUGGAUGUUGUGGAUGUGCCGGUAACAGGCAAAAAAUUUACCUGGUUCAGUUUUGAUGGGAAAGCAAUGAGCCGUCUUGAUAGCUUUUUGUUAUCAUAAGGUUUUAUAGUUAAAGGGAGAAUAUCAGGACAAUGGGUGGGCGAGCGUGAUGUGUCGGAUCAUUGUCCGAUUUGAUUGAUUUGUGCUGAAUUAAAUUGGGGUCCAAAACCAUUCAAGUUUAAUAAUUGUUGGAUGGAUCAUGACGAGUUCAAACCCUUUGUUGAAAAAGUGUGGAACAACUUGUCUAUUAAUGGCAAAAAGGCUUUUGUCAUUAAAGAAAAGUUGAAGCGGUUGAAAGAGGAGUUGAAAAUUUGGAAUAAGGAGGUUUUUGGUAUUUUAGAUUUGAACAUAGAGAAAACAGUUAAGGAGCUCAAUGAUGUGGAAGGGUUACUUGCAUCCGUUAUGACUGUGGCAAAUUGGAUUGAUAAGGGAGGGCUUCAAAAAGGAUUUUGGGACCAACUACAUCACAAAGAGAGUUUACUGAAGCAAAAAUCAAGAAUGAAAUGGGCGCUUGAUGGGGAUGCCAAUUCUCGGUAUUUCCAUGCUAGUCUUAAAGGUAGAAGGAGAAGGAAUCAGUUGGUCUCUAUUAAGAAGGAUGAGGUCUGGAUAUAGGGAGUUGAUAAUAUUAAAAAAAAGUGAAACAACAUUUCUCUUUGAAUUUUUUAGAGGAGUGGACAGAUAGGCCUUUUCUAUCGGGUAUUGACUUUAAUGUUUUGUCUCAAGAAGAUAAUUGGUAUCUGAUGGAACCUUUUACAGAGGAAGAAGUUAGGGAGGUUAUUUGGAGUUGUGAAGUGAAACGCACCGUUUCAUUUUUUCUAUAAAAAAAAAAAGGGACAAAAACCAAAUAUAACCACCGACCCCACCCACCAAUUCUCUCACAUUCUAGUUUCUUCUUUCACUUUCUCUACUUCCUCCCCUGUUUCACGGUUCUUCCAUUUCCCCAAUUUCUAUUCAUCUUCAUCUUUCAAACACAAAUGUCAGCCAUGCACUCAAAAGAAAACUAACAAACCUCUAUUAUAAGUUCCUCAUACUUCUACAAAUAGUAUUGAGUAUAAUUUUGGGAUUAGGGUUAGUGCUCUAAGAGAGGAGAUGAGUACCCACUCUUUGAAAGUUACUUAUCGGGACUUUUGAGGUAAAUAUAUCACUUAUAACUCAACAAUUUAUCUUUGGGUAUAUGCAGUUUGGUUUAGAAAUUAAUGUUAGAGAUUAGAGUAGAUAUUGGAGGAUUUUAUGGUUACAUAUGUUUAGUAAAACUCUAGAAUGACCUUUGAAAUCUUGAUAAACAUUUUCUUAUGUUCAGAUUCGACAGUUGAUGCUUUAUCUGCUACUCCGGGAGUCGUUAGAGAGAAAAACUAGCCGGUCUUCAUAGUUAUUCAAAGUCAGCUGAGUAGGGGUUUCUAGCAGAUAUUGAGAGUCGUCGGUAUCAUUCUUUUGGUAGGCUUCCUUGAUGAAAUGUUACUUUGUAUAUGUAUAUUUUGAGUUGAUCGAAUAUCUGCAGCUAUUUUGAGUCUAGGAAUCUUUUGUGUUGAAAUGUAUAAAUUUAAACAUGUAUAUUUUGAAACUUCUGACUUAAUGAUGUAUAUGCUGCAAACAGGAUUUAUUUUGA